rnacentral:rRNA from 1 species
UUGACGAUGGAUCACCAGUGAGUGGCGGACGGGUGAGUAACACGUAGGUAACCUGCCCCGGAGCGGGGGAUAACAUUUGGAAACAGAUGCUAAUACCGCAUAACAACAAAAGCCACAUGGCUUUUGUUUGAAAGGUGGCUUUGGCUAUCACUCUGGGAUGGACCUGCGGUGCAUUAGCUAGUUGGUAAGGUAACGGCUUACCAAGGCGAUGAUGCAUAGCCGAGUUGAGAGACUGAUCGGCCACAAUGGAACUGAGACACGGUCCAUACUCCUACGGGAGGCAGCAGUAGGGAAUCUUCCACAAUGGGCGCAAGCCUGAUGGAGCAACACCGCGUGAGUGAAGAAGGGUUUCGGCUCGUAAAGCUCUGUUGUUGGAGAAGAACGUGCGUGAGAGUAACUGUUCACGCAGUGACGGUAUCCAACCAGAAAGUCACGGCUAACUACGUGCCAGCAGCCGCGGUAAUACGUAGGUGGCAAGCGUUAUCCGGAUUUAUUGGGCGUAAAGCGAGCGCAGGCGGUUGCUUAGGUCUGAUGUGAAAGCCUUCGGCUUAACCGAAGAAGUGCAUCGGAAACCGGGCGACUUGAGUGCAGAAGAGGACAGUGGAACUCCAUGUGUAGCGGUGGAAUGCGUUAGAUAUAUGGAAGAACACCAGUGGCGAAGGCGGCUGUCUGGUCUGCAACUGACGCUGAGGCUCGAAAGCAUGGGUAGCGAACAGGAUUAGAUACCCUGGUAGUCCAUGCCGUAAACGAUGAGUGCU